AUACCGAUAGCAAACAAGUACAGUGAUGGAAAUUUGAAAAGAACUUUGAAGAGAGAGUUAAGAGUACGUGAAACUGUAUGGUAGUAAACGCAGCCUUCCUCGAAGUUCUUCGUCGUGGAUCCAACCUAWGCCAAUCUGGUGCCUCUGUCUGUGCUGAGCAGCAAUGCCGGCUGGGUGGUGUGCUACUGGUGUCGGCGCGGGUGCAUCUUCACACGUUGUUACUGUAGGAACCGUUGGUGCUGGACCUAAGGCCCGGGAUGAAGUUCGGACUGCCUGUAGUGGGCGGACCGAGCUCCUGGUGUCCUGGCUUUGGCGCCGACGGGCAGUCAUGGCAGACUUGUAUAGCAAGCAACCUUGCUGUUGCAGUCGGCCAUUCCCUACAGAGUAGGUCGGCGGAGGCUGCGACCCGUCUUGAAACACGGAC
rnacentral:rRNA from 1 species